rnacentral:rRNA from 1 species
GACGAACGCUGGCGGCGUGCCUAAUACAUGCAAGUCGAACGCAGUGGGGACGGGUGAGUAACACGUGGGUAACCUCCCAUCAGAGGGGAUAACACUUGGCAACAGGUGCUAAACCGAUACUGAUGGAUGGACCCGCGGUGCAUUAGCCAGUUGGUGAGGUAACGGCUCACCAAGGCCACGAUGCAUACCCGACCUGAGUGGGUGAUCGGCCACACUGGGACUGAGACACGGCCCAGACUCCUACGAGAGGCAGCAGUAGGGAAUCUUCAGCAAUGGACGAAAGUCUGACCGAGCAACGCCGCGUGGGUGAAGAAGGUUUUCGGAGCGGAAAACUCUGUUGUAAGAGAAGCGGUAACUAACCAGAAAGCCACGGCUAGCUACGUGCCAGCAGCCGCGGUAAUAC